rnacentral:misc_RNA from 1 species
GUGAAUCAUCGAAUCUUUGAACGCAAGUUGCACUCUCCUCGAAGAGUAUGCCUGUUUGAGGGUCAGCCUAUAAAAAAUCGACAUCGUUGCUGUUUCGCGGUGUUGUGCGUCGGAAAUUGGGUCAUCUUAAAUCAUUUUGAUUUAUGCGACUUAAAAUUUUCUUUUUUUUCCAUGAUUGUUUCUAAGAUCUAUUUUUUUUCACGUUUAUGGUAUCGAU